UGAGGAAUAUUGGUCAAUGGGCGGGAGCCUGAACCAGCCAAGUCGCGUGAGGGAAGACGGUCCUAUGGAUUGUAAACCUCUUUUGUCGGGGAGCAAAGAGGCCACGUGUGGUCAAAAGCGAGAGUACCCGAAGAAAAAGCAUCGGCUAACUCCGUGCCAGCAGCCGCGGUAAUACGGAGGAUGCGAGCGUUAUCCGGAUUUAUUGGGUUUAAAGGGUGCGUAGGCGGGACGGUAAGUCAGCGGUAAAAAUGCGGAGCUCAACUCCGUCGAGCCGUUGAAACUGCCGUUCUUGAGUGAGCGAGAAGUAUGCGGAAUGCGUGGUGUAGCGGUGAAAUGCAUAGAUAUCACGCAGAACUCCGAUUGCGAAGGCAGCAUACCGGCGCUCAACUGACGCUGAAGCACGAAGGCGUGGGUAUCGAACAGG
rnacentral:rRNA from 1 species